rnacentral:rRNA from 1 species
CUAUGCGCCUUGCCAGCCCGCUCAGGUGUGCCCAGCCGCCGCGGUAAUACGGAGGAUGCGAGCGUUAUCCGGAUUUAUGGGUUUAAAGGGUGCGUAGGCGGUCCGUUAAGUCAGCGGUAAAAUUGCGGGGCUCAACCCCGUCGAGCCGUUGAAACUGUCAGACUUGAGUUGGCGAGAAGUACGCGGAAUGCGCGGUGUAGCGGUGAAAUGCAUAGAUAUCGCGCAGAACUCCGAUUGCGAAGGCAGCGUACCGGCGCCACACUGACGCUGAGGCACGAAAGCGUGGGGAUCGAACAGG